AUGCUUUUUAUAAGUUGUUACAAACUGUUAUGAGAACGUUUUUUGCGCUGAUUUUAUUAUAUUUGCUACCUGUCGGGUCAAUACUAAUAUAAACUGCCCUAAUGAUGUUGUUCUUAACUUUAUUUUUUUUUGGUGCGUAUUAUGGGAUUUGCCACGAGGUGGCCCAGCGCUUUGAACAAUUGUCUCUUGCAUCGGUCGCAGCGGCGCACUUAUUCGUUGAAGCAAGACUUUUGUACCAAUAAGUGCCGUACUAGCUGAGAGACGUCCAAGUGUUGUCCAUUUGCUCACACUCUUUAAAUUUAAUAAUAAAUUUUCAGUUACUUUUUAAA